GACGAACGCUGGCGGCGUGCUUAACACAUGCAAGUCGAACAGAAAGGCCCUGCUUUUGUGGGGUGCUCGAGUGGCGAACGGGUGAGUAACACGUGAGUAACCUGCCCUUGACUUUGGGAUAACUUCAGGAAACUGGGGCUAAUACCGGAUAGGAGCUCCUGCUGCAUGGUGGGGGUUGGAAAGUUUCGGCGGUUGGGGAUGGACUCGCGGCUUAUCAGCUUGUUGGUGGGGUAGUGGCUUACCAAGGCUUUGACGGGUAGCCGGCCUGAGAGGGUGACCGGCCACAUUGGGACUGAGAUACGGCCCAGACUCCUACGGGAGGCAGCAGUGGGGAAUAUUGCACAAUGGGCGGAAGCCUGAUGCAGCAACGCCGCGGGCGGGAUGACGGCCUUCGGGUUGUAAACCGCUUUCGCCUGUGACGAAGCGUGAGUGACGGUAAUGGGUAAAGAAGCACCGGCUAACUACGUGC
rnacentral:rRNA from 1 species